rnacentral:rRNA from 1 species
CCAAUAGCGUAUAUUAAAGUUGUUGCAGUUAAAAAGCUCGUAGUUGAAUUUCGGGAUCAAUAUGUCGGUCGUGCCUCCGGUACGUACUGGCGUUAUUGGUUUCUCCCUUCUGAAGAACCACGAUGUCAUUAAUUUGGUGUCAUGGGGAAUCAGGACUGUUACUUUGAAAAAAUUAGAGUGUUUAAAGCAGGCUCACGCUUGAAUACAUUAGCAUGGAAUAAUGAAAUAGGACGUUUGAUUCUAUUUUGUUGGUUUCUAGGAUCGAUGUAAUGAUUAAUAGGGAUAGUUGGGGGCAUUAGUAUUCAAUUGUCAGAGGUGAAAUUCUUGGAUUUAUUGAAGACUAACUACUGCGAAAGCAUUUGCCAAGGAUGUUUUCAUUAAUCAAGAACGAAAGUUAGGGGAUCGAAGACGAUCAGAUACCGUCGUAGUCUUAACCAUAAACUAUGCCGACUAGGGAUCGGAUGAUGUUAAUUUUUUAAUGACUCAUUCGGCGCCUUACG